rnacentral:rRNA from 1 species
AGUGAACGCUGGCGGCAGGCCUAACACAUGCAAGUCGAGCGGCAGCGGGUUCCCGCGAGGGGAUGCCGGCGAGCGGCGGACGGGUGAGGAACACAUCGGAAUCUGCCUGGUUGUGGGGGAUAACGUAGGGAAACUUACGCUAAUACCGCAUGAGACCCUGAGUCGACGGACUGGGGGUGAAAGUGAGGGACCUUCGGGCCUCACGCGACCAGAUGAGCCGAUGUCGGAUUAGCUAGUUGGCGGGGUAACGGCCCGCCAAGGCGACGAUCCGUAGCUGGUCUGAGAGGAUGAUCAGCCACACUGGGACUGAGACACGGCCCAGACUCC